AGCGAACGCUGGCGGCAGGCCUAACACAUGCAAGUCGAACGAACUCUUCGGAGUUAGUGGCGGACGGGUGAGUAACUCGUGGGAACGUUCCUUUUUGCUCGGAACAACUCAGGGAAACUUGUGCUAAUACCGAAUGUGUCCUUCGGGGGAAAGAUUUAUCGCCAUUACAGCGGCCCGCGUCUGAUUAGCUAGUUGGUGAGGUAACGGCUCACUAAGGCGACGAUCAGUAGCUGGUCUGAGAGAAUGACCAGACACACUGGGACUGAGACACGGCCCAGAAUCCUACGAGAGGCAGCAGUGGGGAAUCUUGAGCAAUGGGCGAAAGCCUGACGAAGCCAUGCCGGGUGAAUAAUGAAGGUCUUAGGAUUAUAAAAUUCUUUCACCGGCAACGAUAAUGACGGUACCCGAAGAAGAAGCCCCGGCUAACUUCGUG
rnacentral:rRNA from 1 species